rnacentral:rRNA from 1 species
GACGAACGCUGGCGGCGUGCUUAACACAUGCAAGUCGAACGGAAAGACCCUGCUUUUUUGGGGUUCUCGGGGGGCGAACGGGUGCGUAACACGUGAGUAACCUGCCCUUGACUUUGGGAUAACUUCAGGAAACUGGGGCUAAUACCGUAUAGGAGCUCCUGCUGCAUGGUGGGGGUGGGAAAGUUUCGGCUGGUGGGGAUGGACUCGCGGCUUAUCGGCUUGUUGGUGGGGUAAAGGCUUACCAAGGCUUUGACGGGUAGCCGGCCUGAGAGGAUGAUCGGCCACACGGGAACUGGGACACGGUCCAUGCUCCUACGGGAGGCAGCAGUGGGGAAUGUGAGACAAUGGGCGCAAGCAUGGUCCAGCCAGACCGCGUGGGUGAAGAAGGCCUUCGGGUUGUAAAGCCCGUUUGUUGGGAAAGAAAAGCAGCAGGUUAAGACCCCGCGGUACUGACGGUACCCAAAGAAUAAGCACCGGCUAACUUCGUG